CUGCGAUGAUGAAUUUGGCGCUUACUGUGAUAUCUUGGUCGAUCACAACCGUCUGAUGAUUCUGACGAAGCUAUAAAUUAGCGCAUCUGAGCUA